rnacentral:rRNA from 1 species
GUGCCCUACGGGGCGCAGCAGUGGGGAAUAUUGGGCAAUGGGCGCAAGCCUGACCCAGCAACGCCGCGUGAAGGAAGAAGGCUUUCGGGUUGUAAACUUCUUUUCUUGGGGACGAAGAAAGUGACGGUACCCAAGGAAUAAGCCACGGCUAACUACGUGCCAGCAGCCGCGGUAAUACGUAGGUGGCAAGCGUUAUCCGGAUUUAUUGGGUGUAAAGGGCGUGUAGGCGGGAAUGCAAGUCAGAUGUGAAAACUAUGG